CCUACGGGAGACAGCAGUGAGGAAUAUUGGUCAAUGGACGAGAGUCUGAACCAGCCAAGUAGCGUGAAGGAUGACUGCCCUAUGGGUUGUAAACUUCUUUUAUAUGGGAAUAAAAUGUUCCACGUGUGUGAUUUUGUAUGUACCAUAUGAAUACGGAUCGGCUAACUCCGUGCCAGCAGCCGCGGUAAUACGGAGGAUCCGAGCGUUAUCCGGAGUUAUUGGGUUUAAAGGGAGCGUAGGUGGAUUGUUAAGUCAGUUGUGAAAGUUUGCGGCUCAACCGUAAAAUUGCAGUUGAAACUGGCAGUCUGGAGUACAGUAGAGGUGGGCGGAAUUCGUGGUGUAGCGGUGAAAUGCUUAGAUAUCUCGAAGAACUCCGAUUGCGAAGGCAGCUCACUGGACUGCAACUGACACUGAGGCUCGAAAGUGUGGGUAUCAAACAGGAUUAGAUACCCGGGUAGUC
rnacentral:rRNA from 1 species